rnacentral:rRNA from 1 species
CCUACGGGUGGCUGCAGUGGGGAAUAUUGGACAAUGGGGGCAACCCUGAUCCAGCCAUGCCGCGUGUGUGAAGAAGGCCCUCGGGUUGUAAAGCACUUUCAGUGAGGAAGAACGCCUGGUGGUUAAUACCCAUCAGGAAAGACAUCACUCACAGAAGAAGCACCGGCUAACUCCGUGCCAGCAGCCGCGGUAAUACGGAGGGUGCGAGCGUUAAUCGGAAUUACUGGGCGUAAAGCGCGCGUAGGUGGCUUGAUAAGCCGGUUGGGAAAGCCCCGGGCUCAACCUGGGAACGGCAUCCGGAAAUGUCAAGCUAGAGUGCAGGAGAGGAAGGUAGAAUUCCCCGUGGAGCGGUGAAAUGCGUAGAGAUCGGGAGGAAUACCAGUGGCGAAGGCGGCCUUCUGGACUGACACUGACACUGAGGUGCGAAAGCGUGGGUAGCAAACAGGAUUAGAUACCCCGGGUAGUC